UACGGAGGGUGCAAGCGUUAUCCGGAUUUACUGGGUUUAAAGGGUGCGUAGGUGGGUCUGUAAGUCAGUGGUGAAAUCUCCGGGCUUAACCCGGAAACUGCCAUUGAUACUAUAGGUCUUGAUUUAUCUGGAGGUAAGCGGAAUAUGUCAUGUAGCGGUGAAAUGCUUAGAUAUGACGUGGAACACCAAUGGCGAAGGCAGCUUACUGCGGAUACAUUGACACUGAGGCGCGAAAGCGUGGGGAUCAAACAGG
rnacentral:rRNA from 1 species